rnacentral:sRNA from 1 species
GUUCGAAUCCUGCACGACCCACCAAUCGUUCGGUGGAAACGAGAAUAAAGCGUGAAGGAUAACGUUGCGUCAGCAACGGCCCGUAGGGCGAGGCGAAGCCGAGUCAUCCUGCACAACCCACCA